rnacentral:rRNA from 1 species
GAUGAACGCUGGCGGCGUGCCUAAUACAUGCAAGUCUAGCGAAAAGACGAGGAGGUUGCUCCUCUGACAUUAGCGGGGGAGAGGUGAGUAAAACGUAGAUAACCUACCUAUAAGACUGGGAUAACGUCAGGAAACCGGAGCUAAUACCGGGUAAUGUAUUGAACCGCAUGGCUCAAUAGAAAGAGACGGUUCUGCUGACACUUAUAGAUGGAUAAGCUCCGCAUUAGCUAGCUGGUAAGGUAACGGCUUACCAGGGCAAGGCUGCGUAGCCGACAUGGGAAGGUGAUCGGCCACACUGGAACUGAGACACGGCCCAGACGCCUACGGGAGGCAGCAGUAGCGAAUCUUCCGCAAUGGGCUAAAGCCUGACGGACCAACGCCGCGUGAGUGAUGAAGGUCUUCGGAUCGUAAAACUCUGUUAUUCGGGUAGAACAAAUGUGUCAGUAACGAUGCACGUCUUGACGGUACCUAAUGAGAAAGCCACGGCUAACUACGUG